rnacentral:misc_RNA from 1 species
AAAGUCGUAACAAGGUUUCCGUAGGUGAACCUGCGGAAGGAUCAUUACUGAAUGAACCAUGCCCCUUUUUGUGGUAGACCGCCUGCAUGGCGCCCUUCGAUGUCAGACACCGGCGGGGCCAUUUCAGAGUGUCUACCAUGCCCUUCACCAAACAAACCUGUCGUUGUACGUGUACGAUGUUAAAGAACAUAAAUAUAAAUAUAACUUUCAACAACGGAUCUCUUGGCUCUC